GUGAGGAAUAUUGGUCAAUGGGCGAGAGCCUGAACCAGCCAAGUCGCGUGAAGGAAGAAGGAUCUAUGGUUCGUAAACUUCUUUUGCAGGGGAAUAAAGUGCAGGACGUGUCCUGUUUUGUAUGUACCCUGAGAAUAAGGAUCGGCUAACUCCGUGCCAGCAGCCGCGGUAAUACGGAGGAUCCGAGCGUUAUCCGGAUUUAUUGGGUUUAAAGGGUGCGUAGGUGGUUUGAUAAGUCAGCGGUGAAAGUUUGCAGCUUAACUGUAAAAAUGCCGUUGAAACUGUCGGACUUGAGUGUAAAUGAGGUAGGCGGAAUGCGUGGUGUAGCGGUGAAAUGCAUAGAUAUCACGCAGAACUCCGAUUGCGAAGGCAGCUUACUAAGCUACAACUGACACUCAAGCACGAAAGCGUGGGGAUCAAACAGGAUUAGAAACCCCUGUAGUCC
rnacentral:rRNA from 1 species